rnacentral:tRNA from 1 species
GCCCCUGUAGCUCAGCGGGAAAGAGCGGCUGCCUUCUAAGCAGCGGGUCGGGGGUUCGAAUCCCUCCAGGGGUACCA